rnacentral:rRNA from 1 species
CCUACGGGAGGCAGCAGUGAGGAAUAUUGGUCAAUGGGCGCAAGCCUGAACCAGCGACGCCGCGUGGGGGAUGAAGGGGCUUUGCCUCGUAAACCUCUGUCGGAUGGGACGAAAGGUGGCUUUGAGCCACUGGGACGGUACCAUCAAAGGAAGGAUCGGCUAACUACGUGCCAGCAGCCGCGGUAAUACGUAGGAUCCGAGCGUUGUCCGGAGUUACUGGGUGUAAAGGGUGCGUAGGCUGUUCUGUGCGUCAGAGGUGAAAUCCACGAGCUUAACUCGUGGGGUGCCUUUGAUACGGCAGGGCUUGAGUACGAGAGAGGUGCGUGGAAUUCCUGGUGUAGCAGUGAAAUGCGUAGAUAUCAGGAGGAACACCGGUGGCGAAGGCGGCGCACUGGCUCGUAACUGACGCUGAGGCACGAAAGCGUGGGGAUCAAACAGGAUUAGAUACCCUGGUAGUCCACGCCUUAAACGAUGCAUGCUUGGUGUUGGUCUCGCAAGAGAUCAGUGCCGUAGUUAACAUGAUAAGCAUGCCACCUGGGGAGUACGAUCGCAAGGUUGAAACUCAAAUGAAUUGAC